AUGGCAUUCAACCCUGGUCCUCUCACACAAUGGCCUUGGGAGAAGCUUGGAAAGUUCAAGUACGUGGUUCUGGCUCCAUGGAUGCUGCAAAGCUGCUAUUGCUUCUUCUUAGGAGGAGAGAAGAACAGGGAUUUGUCCAAUUUCCUCAUGCUUCCACUCAUGUUAUCCAGACUGGCUCAUGCCCAGUUAUGGAUCUCUCUCUCCCGCUUCCAAACUGCGAGGAGCAAACAUAUAAUACUCAGCAAGGGCCUUGAGUUUCAGCAGGUUGACAGAGAAAGAAACUGGGAUGACCAGGUUAUAUUCAAUGGCAUAUUGUUCUAUUUGGGGAGCUUAUAUUUUCCAGGGGGAUCCAACCUGCCCCUGUGGAACAUCAAAGGAGUGAUCAUAACCAUUAUUUGCCACAUUGGGCCUGUUGAGUUCUUAUAUUAUUGGGCACACAGGGCACUUCACCACCACUUCCUUUAUUCUCGUUAUCACUCCCAUCACCAUUCCUCCGUGGUCACCGAGCCCAUCACAUCGGUGGUGCAUCCCUUCGCAGAACAUAUCUUAUACUCCUUCCUGUUUGCAAUAGCACUUUUAACAACGCUCUACACAAGGACCGCCUCUAUUAUUUCCUUGGCUGCCUAUAUUACAUAUAUCGAUUUCAUGAAUAAUAUGGGGCAUUGCAACUACGAGUUCAUCCCAAAGUGCCUCUUUCAACAUUUUCCCUUCCUCAACUACAUCAUGUAUACUCCAUCGUUCCAUUCACUUCAUCACUCAAGAGUCCACACCAACUUUUGUCUCUUCAUGCCAGUAUAUGAUUACAUAUACAAUACAGCUGACAUGUCUACAGAUGCUGUAUAUGAGAGUGCUAUAGAGGGGAGAGAGGAGGCCAUAGAUGUUGUCCAUCUCACUCAUCCAACUACCCUUCACUCUAUCUACCAAAUGCGCCUAGGUUUUGCCUGUUUGGCUGCUCAACCCCAAGAUCCCAAAUGGUAUCUAUGGUUACUUUGGCCAAUCACCGUUGGAUUAAUGUCGCUAAUGUGGAUUUUCGAUCGUACAUUUACUGUCGAGAAGAACAGAUUGGAGAAACUCAACAUUCAAACAUGGGCAAUUCCCAGGUUUUCCUUCCAGUAUUCUUUGAAAUCGCAACACGCACUAAUCAACAAAUUGAUAGAGGAUGCUAUAAUUGAGGCAGAAAAAAGAGGUGCCAAAGUACUAAGUCUAGGGCUUCUAAAUCAGGAUGAAAUUCUCAAUGGAAAUGGGGAGCUCAAUCUUGUGAGGCUCAAAGGUCGAAAAAUGAAGGUAGUGGAUGGAUGCAUGCUUGCUGCUGCAUGCGUACUAAACUCAAUUCCUCGAGACACAAAUGAAGUCUUAAUCCAAGGUCACCUUUCAAAAACGGGUUAUGCCGUUGCCAUGGCCUUGUGCAAGAGAGGCACAAAGGUUAUUACUGAGUGCCCAGAUCAGCUUGAAAAUUUGAGGAUGCGAAUCUCCCUACAACAUCAAGCUAACCUUAUUUAUGCUCCUGGAAUUUAUUGCAAGGUAUGGUUAGUGGGAGAUGGAAUGAAUGAUGAGAAAAAUGCACCCAAGGGUACAUUGUAUAUUCCUUUUUCAUAGUUUCCUCUCAAGAUGAUGCGCAAGGACUGCAUUUAUUUGUCCACCCCUGCCAUGACAGUACCAUCCAAUAUGGAGAACAUGCACUCUUGUGAGAAUUGGCUUCCAAGGAGGGUGAUGAGUGCAUGGCGAGUUGGUGGAAUUUUGCACGCUUUGGAAGGAUGGGAGACACACGAAUGUGGGGACACAAUGCUUGAUCUACAAAAAGUUUGGAGCUUUGCUCUAAAUAGAGGUUUCCUCCCAUUUGUCUAUGACCACAAUCCACAACCUUAAUAUGGGGUCCUUCGUACCAUAAAUUUGGUCCACGCUUUCUCAUAAUAUUCUCCAUAUGUAUUCUACAAUAAUGGAAAAGACCUCAAAAAACUUAAGUAUGAUAUGAGAAGCAAUUAGUGAGCAUUACAAUGCUCAUUUUAUCUUUCAUU